UACGUAGGGGGCAAGCGUUGUCCGGAUUCAUUGGGCGUAAAGAGCGUGUAGGCGGCCAGGUAGGUCCGUUGUGAAAACUCGAGGCUCAACCUCGAGACGUCGAUGGAAACCAUCUGGCUAGAGUCCGGAAGAGGAGAGUGGAAUUCCUGGUGUAGCGGUGAAAUGCGCAGAUAUCAGGAAGAACACCUAUGGCGAAGGCAGCUCUCUGGGACGGUACUGACGCUGAGACGCGAAAGCGUGGGGAGCAAACAGG
rnacentral:rRNA from 1 species